GCCAGGCGCGGUGGUGCAGGCCUGUAAUCCCAGUGACUUGGGAGGCUGAGGUAGGAGGAUGGCAAAUUCAAGGCCAGCCUCAACAAUGUAGCAAGAUCCUGCCUCAA
rnacentral:sRNA from 1 species